GGGGGCGCCAUUUUGCCAGAAUAAUUCUGUGAAAAUCUUAUUCAAUAAAACGUUAUAAAUAAUCAAAAGCUUAGUUAUUAAAAAAAAUAAUGAAUGCAACAUUUUUAAUUAAUGGUUUUUAGCAUUUUAAUGAGUUCAAAAUUUAUUUAUUAAAAACGUAUUAAGACGCGGAACGGCCGUAGGCCUAUCUCUUUGCGACCACAACAAACAGAAGGCUUUGCAGACGCGCACUUCAGCUUGCCCUCGAGCGCAGAAAAGAAUAUAUUUUGUAAAGAGGAAAGCAACAACAUGGUUUCAAAACUGGAGGACGCAAUGGAAGGCCUGAUUAAAGUGUUCCACACAUACUCCUCCAAAGAAGGAGACAAGUACAAGCUAAGCAAAGCUGAGCUCAAAAGCUUGCUUCAGGGAGAACUUAGUGACUUUUUAGCUGCGAGUAAAGACCCCAUGGUUGUGGAGAAGAUCAUGUCUGAUUUGGAUGAGAACCGGGAUGGAGAAGUGGACUUUCAGGAGUUUGUUGUGCUGGUGGCUGCUCUCACAGUGGCGUGUAAUGAAAUCUUUGUAAAGAGCAUGAAGAAUUAAUUGUCUUCCAUGUCUCUCUUCAGCUGUGUCAGAACAUUUUGUAAAUGUUAUUUAUCAGAAAUAAAGACUCAAUGACAUGCA
ensembl:lncRNA